rnacentral:rRNA from 1 species
AUGGGAAACAUACACAAGUUCUCUCAGAACUAUGAGAAGUGUGUGAAGGAUAUUAGAGCUGCUAUGGAUACCACCGAUGUGAAGUUUACAAUCGUUGAUGGUGGAAAGGACACAACUGUUCCUGUCACUCCGGGCGAAGAUAACACAAGCCGUGGGGUAUAUGUGAUUAAAAUCACAGACAGCCAGUACAACCUCUCUCUGGUGGCUACUAAAUACCAGGCUUGGUUCAGGGGGAUUGUUACUAACAAUGGAGGCAGAUAUGAGAUUGACAAGAUGCCAACCAAGAUGAUGAAGGGCUCUACAUCACUUCAUACCGAUGGACAGUAUCCACAUUUGCUGUCUGGUGGAGAUAAAGUUGAAGCACUAAAGGUGGGAUUUCAUCGAUUGCUCCAUGCCUUCCCUGCUUUGGCUACUCUUGGGAAGGAUGAGAACAAAAAGGUCACAUCCGAGCAUAAGGAGGCUUUGGCGUGCUAA